rnacentral:rRNA from 1 species
GACGAACGCUGGCGGCGUGCUUAAUACAUGCAAGUCGAGCGAGGCCCAUCCAGUGGCAACACUGGGGAAGGCCGAGCGGCGAACGGGUGAGUAACACGUGAGCAACCUGCCCCGAAGUCUGGAAUAAACAUCGGGAAACCGGGUACGCUAAUACCGGAUUGCCCCACCCUGACCGCAUGAUCGGGUGAGGAAAGAUUUAUCGCUUCGGGAGGGGCUCGCGGCCUAUCAGCUAGNGGUCGGGGUAACGGGCCCACCAAGGCGUCGACGGUAGCUGGUCUGAGAGGACGACCAGCCACACUGGGACUGAGACACGGCCCAGACUCCUACGGGAGGCNGCAGUAGGGAAUCUUGCGCAAUGGGCGAAAGCCUGACGCAGCAACGCCGCGUGGGGGA